rnacentral:rRNA from 1 species
GACGAACGAGGGGGGAGGGGGGAAAAAAGGAAAGUCGAACUGUAAGGCCCUGCUUUUGUGGGGUGCUCGAGUGGCGAACGGGUGAGUAACACGUGAGUAACCUGCCCUUGACUUUGGGAUAACUUCAGGAAACUGGGGCUAAUACCGGAUAGGAGCUCCUGCUGCAUGGUGGGGGUUGGAAAGUUUCGGCGGUUGGGGAUGGACUCGCGGCUUAUCAGCUUGUUGGUGGGGUAGUGGCUUACCAAGGCUUUGAGGGGGCGCCGGCCUGAGAGGGUGACCGGCCACAUUGGGACUGAGAUACGGCCCAGACUCCUACGGGAGGGUGCAGUGGGGAAUAUUGCACAAUGGGCGGAAGCCUGAUGCAGCAACGCCGCGUGCGGGGUUCCUUCCUGCGUGUUGUAAACCGCUUUCGCCUGUGACUAAGCGUGAGUGACGGUAAUGGGUAACGAAGCACCUGCUCCCUACGUC